GAGAACCUAAUCAGUCGCUCAGCCAAAGAUGAAACUUUGAUUGCUCAGGUGUUUGAAGUGGCACCCUCGCUUUUCAUGGUUGAGAUGAGGAAAGCGGGAGGAGACACACUAGAAUACACAGCGGUAAUGAUGCUAGAAGUGGUGUUUCUUCAUUGGAACUCACAUUGUAUUGCUCGUUUGGUCAGUUCCACAAGGAUUUGUACGUCGGGUUGGAAGAUAUUGUUUGGAAGAACGAGCUGGAAGUGGAAAGAGGAGAAAGAUAAAACUAGGACGCGAACGGUCACGAUUUCCCAUCCUAUAUUCAACGAGGAAGAAAAACAAUCACUCACCUGGAAGAUCGAGAGCUGGCGGCGCGCCA
rnacentral:lncRNA from 1 species